rnacentral:rRNA from 1 species
AAAUUGAAGAGUUUGAUCAUGGCUCAGAUUGAACGCUGGCGGCAGGCCUAACACAUGCAAGUCGAACGGUAGCACAGAGAGCUUGCUCUCGGGUGACGAGUGGCGGACGGGUGAGUAAUGUCUGGGAAACUGCCUGAUGGAGGGGGAUAACUACUGGAAACGGUGGCUAAUACCGCAUAACGUCGCAAGACCAAAGAGGGGGACCUUCGGGCCUCUUGCCAUCAGAUGUGCCCAGAUGGGAUUAGCUUGUUGGUGAGGUAACGGCUCACCAAGGCGACGAUCCCUAGCUGGUCUGAGAGGAUGACCAGCCACACUGGAACUGAGACACGGUCCAGACUCCUACGGGAGGCAGCAGUGGGGAAUAUUGCACAAUGGGCGCAAGCCUGAUGCAGCCAUGCCGCGUGUAUGAAGAAGGCCUUCGGGUUGUAAAGUACUUUCAGCGGGGAGGAAGGUGUUGUGGUUAAUAACCGCAGCAAUUGACGUUACCCGCAGAAGAAGCACCGGCUAACUCCGUGCCAGCAGCCGCGGUAAUACGGAGGGUGCAAGCGUUAAUCGGAAUUACUGGGCGUAAAGCGCACGCAGGCGGUCUGUCAAGUCGGAUGUGAAAUCCCCGGGCUCAACCUGGGAACUGCAUUCGAAACUGGCAGGCUUGAGUCUUGUAGAGGGGGGUAGAAUUCCAGGUGUAGCGGUGAAAUGCGUAGAGAUCUGGAGGAAUACCGGUGGCGAAGGCGGCCCCCUGGACAAAGACUGACGCUCAGGUGCGAAAGCGUGGGGAGCAAACAGGAUUAGAUACCCUGGUAGUCCACGCCGUAAACGAUGUCUACUUGGAGGUUGUGCCCUUGAGGCGUGGCUUCCGGAGCUAACGCGUUAAGUAGACCGCCUGGGGAGUACGGCCGCAAGGUUAAAACUCAAAUGAAUUGACGGGGGCCCGCACAAGCGGUGGAGCAUGUGGUUUAAUUCGAUGCAACGCGAAGAACCUUACCUGGUCUUGACAUCCACAGAAGAAUCCAGAGAUGGAUUUGUGCCUUCGGGAACUGUGAGACAGGUGCUGCAUGGCUGUCGUCAGCUCGUGUUGUGAAAUGUUGGGUUAAGUCCCGCAACGAGCGCAACCCUUAUCCUUUGUUGCCAGCGGUCCGGCCGGGAACUCAAAGGAGACUGCCAGUGAUAAACUGGAGGAAGGUGGGGAUGACGUCAAGUCAUCAUGGCCCUUACGACCAGGGCUACACACGUGCUACAAUGGCGCAUACAAAGAGAAGCGACCUCGCGAGAGCAAGCGGACCUCAUAAAGUGCGUCGUAGUCCGGAUUGGAGUCUGCAACUCGACUCCAUGAAGUCGGAAUCGCUAGUAAUCGUGGAUCAGAAUGCCACGGUGAAUACGUUCCCGGGCCUUGUACACACCGCCCGUCACACCAUGGGAGUGGGUUGCAAAAGAAGUAGGUAGCUUAACCUUCGGGAGGGCGCUUACCACUUUGUGAUUCAUGACUGGGGUGAAGUCGUAACAAGGUAACCGUAGGGGAACCUGCGGUUGGAUCACCUCCUUACCUKAAAGAAGC